UUUUGCAUCUGAACUCUUCAAAUAUAUCCUAUAGCCAUAAAAUAUGGCACAAGCAAUAGGGAAAUUAUAGGUUGAUAAGAAUGGUGAAUCAAAAAGUGCCUGUCUUUAUGAAGGAAUCAUUUAAUCAAAAAUAUCUGGCUCAGCCAGAUUAUCAGUUGAAAUAUGUUCCUUGACAGUACGAGAGGUUGUUGUUCUCAGAAAGAACAUUUACAUUGAGAAGAUACUUUGCAUUGAACUGCAUGCUUCAGUGCUCUGAAGGUCUUUAUAGAUCUGUGACUUUAUGAUUUUAUGACUGACUGCUCUCCCUCAUGAUAACAGAUCAUAAAGCAAACAUGACUUUAAUGGCCGUCAUCAUUUGGAUACUCACAACCUGCAUCUGGAGUUCUGUAGGGCAGAUUCUGACUCAAUCUGAAGAUCAAACAGUGAAGCCUGAUCAGACUGUUACUAUUCACUGUAAUCAUAAACCAGCUGUGAACCGUUAUAAAACAGGUACUUCUCAGUACUGCAUGGCCUGGUACCAUCAGAUUCCUGGAGAAGCUCCUAAACUCCUGAUCUAUUACACAUCAGACAGAGCUUCAGGUGUUUCUUCUAGAUUCAGUGGCAGUGAAAGUGGAAAUCACAUGGAUUUUACUCUGACCAUCAGUGGAGUCCAGCCUGAAGAUUCAGGAGUUUAUUACUGUCAGAGUGAACAUAACAAGGGAGUCUCUGGCACCACAGAUCUUGUGUUCACACAGUGUAAACGCAUUAUACAAAAACCUCCACAGCUUUGAGCUUCUGCAGAUGCUGAUGUUGAAGAUCAUUAUUCACCUCACUGACUUUACACACAAACACACACAAACACAGAGAUUCUUUAAGGCUGUUCUGCUGUUGAUUUCCAUCAUGUUUCGCAAUCCUCAACACAUUCUACAUAUUUUCUUAAUAAUAAACAUCAGAAUGUCUCAGUCAGGUUUCCACAUGAAUCUCAGUGGUCACUAUAAAUGAAAUGUUUAAUUCACAGUCUGUAUAUUUAUUUGAAAAAUUAAAUUAUCAGAUUAAAUGAUUCAGUUUAAAACCGGUUCAGUGGAUAGUACAUCCAGUAUAAUAUACCCCCAAAAAUAAAAAUCAAUAGUAUUAUAGCUUCUUUUUGUUUAUUUUAAAAUGUUUAAUAACAUAAUAAGAA